GUGAAUCAUCGAAUUUUUGAACGCAAAUUGCACUCUCCUCGGAGAGUAUGCCUGUUUGAGGGUCGUUAGAACAAAAAUCGAAGCGUCGCUCUUUUUUUUUUAAAGGUUAUCGCUUCGGAAUUGAGCCGUCUUUCAAAUGUUAAUUCAUGUCAAAGUUGCUUUAAAUUCAACCAUCCCGUACGAUUAAAACGUAUUUUAGUUCAACUUUGUUUUAUAACGUC
rnacentral:misc_RNA from 1 species